rnacentral:lncRNA from 1 species
GUGGUCCUAAGGUGUCUAGCUUAUAGGUUGGAAAUUGAUUUGUUGUCUGUUAUUCGCAUUAACUAGGAUCUGGUGGUUUGGCAGUCUGUUUUGUAUGAAACAGGACAAAGCAGAGUUGGGAUACUUGCUCCAAAGGUUCUAAAGAAAAAUCUGGGGGGGCUGGGGUUGUGGCUCAAGAGGUAAAGCACUCGCCUAGCACGUGUGAGGCACUGGGUUCGAUCCUCAGCACCCAUAAAUAUAAAAUAAAGAUAUUGUAUUCACCUAAAAAACUAAAAAUAAAUAAAUAAAAAGAAAAAUCUGGGGUUGUAGUUCAGUGGUAGAGCACUCAUCUAGCAUCUGUGAGGUCUUGGGUUCAAUCCUCAGCACCAUAUAAAAAUAAAGGUAUUGUGUCCAACUACACCUAAAAAAGAAAGAUUUUUCUUUUUUUUUAAAUAUUAUGUAUUUUGAUUGAAUCAUUCAGUACAUUCUACGCUAAGCACUAAGGAUAUAGAAAUUAUGUAUAGUUUCUGCUUUCAGGAAACUUAUAGUUUAGAAAGCAAGUAAGAAGGAAAACAGGAAUCUUUGAGCAUAGGGUCUAAUGGGACCUCUGAAGGACGAUCAUUGAACUUGAGAGGCAGAGGUGAAUGGGAGAAGAUUGGGAAGAAUGACGGAAUUCAAAAGCUUCCUAGAGAAGGGGAUAGUUCUGGAUUGAAUCUGGAAGAACAGAUGAGCUAUGUGAGGAACAGCAGAGGGAUAGAAUAUUCCAGCUAGUAAUCAGCAUGUCAAACCAGGAUACUGAAAAAUGACAUUCAUUAUUAUUAGAGCCAGGGUUUGCAGGGGAGAAGUGGACAGAGACCACAGGAAGGACUCUAUCAGCCAUGCUAAAGAGUUUGAAAUUUACCCAGAUGACUGUAGAAAGCCAUUAGAACUAUAGGGUAGGUGAUGUUAAGGGCAAUUUGUGUUUUAUAAGAUUCCCUCAGAAUCUGGCACGGUGGCAUAUGCCUAUAGUCCCAGCUCCAGGGGAGGCUGAGACAGGAGGAUCACAAAUUUGAGGUCACCCUGGGCAUUAGUGAGUGAUACACUAAAUAAAAAAAAGGCUGGGGAUGUAGCUCAGAGGCAGCUCCUGGGUUCAAUCCCAGUACUAUAAAAAUUAAAAAAAAAAAAAAAAAAGAUUAAAAAACAAGGAGGAGGUUCUUAAGAGGAGGAGGAGGUACUGGGUAUAUAUAGAGGGAUAUCACAUCAGUGUCUCUGUAGCUCCUUGUUAGUUCAUUUAGGAAUGUUGAAAUAUUAGGUUGAUUUGGCUGCUUUUUCCCCCUUAAGUCAGCAUGUUGUUAUUUUGCCCAGAUUGAUCUGAACUCUUGGGUUCAACUGAUCUUCCUGCUUCUGUCCCAAAAAACUGGGACUACCUAUGCAUACCACCACCUGGCUUUGGGUACCUUUGAAAUAGAAAAGGAAGUUAGUUGUGUUCAGAGUGUAAUACCUAGAUAAAUAAUUGGGUAUGAAACCAGUAAGCAGUUAAGAGGAAUUUUUCAGUCCAGUCCUUUAUUGGAAAUGAAAACUUUGAAAAAAACUGGGCAGACUGGUAGUUGCUAGGAAUGCUGAGACAGGAGGAUCACAAGUUUGAGACAGCCUGGGAAACUUAGCCAGACCCCUGUCUCAGAAUAAAAAGGGCUCUGGCUGGGGUUGUAGUUUAGUGGUAGAGCGCUUGUCUAGCACGUGUGAGACGCUGGGUUCGAUCCUCAGUGCUGCAUAAAAAUAAUAAAUCAAAUAAAGGUAUUGUUUCCAACUACAACUAAAAAAUAAAUAAUAAAUAAAGGUAUUGUGUUCAUCCACAACUACCAAAAAAAAAAAAAAAAGAAAAGAAAAAGAAAGAAGGCUGGGGAACCUAGCUCAGUAAUAUAGCAGUUGUGUUGUAGUUGUGCCACAGUUUUAGAUGUGUACUGCCCUGGGUUUGUUCCUCAGCACUGAAACCAAGUCAAAACAACCCACCAAAAUUUUGAAAAAAAUAUUUAGAGAAAGGGGAUCCUUCUUAUGACAAAAGGAUUUUUAAAGAUGAAACUCUUGAGAAGUGAAACUGAGUUGAAAAUGCUCAAAACCACAACCAGAGAUCUUCUAUUGGGUGUUGGAGGUUUCUGUGCCUUUCUGGCCCUCAAAAGAUUAGCAGUUUGUUUUAUCUACUCCCUCCGUUCUUCUCUCUGUACUUUAAGUAGCAUUGUGUGAUCUAUUAAAAAAAAAAAAGCCUUUGACCUAUUAUUUUGGUUAUUGGAAGUACUUUUGUGUGUGUGUCUGAGUAUGUAUAACAUUAGUAGUUAUGUAGAGACCUAGGUUAUUUGGAUCAGGCACAUUCCAAGUGGUAAGAAUGAUUUUUGAGCGGUCAAUUGUCUGUGUUCUGGCUCAUACAUCUUAAGAAAUGAACUAAAUGCCAUUUAACCAGUAACACUGAUUUUGUGGAUAAAGACAUUAGUUCUGCUUUGAGAAACAAAGUUGUUCAUUGUACUUUAGGAGCUGCUAGAUGAGUCUAAUGCUUCUUAACCCUUAACUAAGAAAAAUGCAGCUUGCUGACAAUAGGGGGUUUUACAGGCCUGUGAAACUCAACAGCAUGUUCAGCAAUGUAAACAAUGGCAGCUGUCUUUUGCUGGCUUCUCUGUUAUUCGAAGUGUAAUGAAACUGCUUCUCACAAAUGGCUUCACCUGCUGACUCAUCUUCCAGCCCCUAAACAACUAUAGUGCCCAGCAUUAUUUAAUGCGAGGAAUGAGAAUAAAAAGAACCAGAGUCUUAGAACGUGAGGGUUGGUGGAUAAGGAAAAUUUUCUAACUCAGCCCUUAUUAAAUGGCCUCAACUAUCAAAAAGAAACAUUACUGUGACAGAUGCCACAGUUGAUACUUAAAAAAUUAGUGAUAUUGCUUUUUAGAAUGCCAUUAGAAUCUUCUGAAUAAGCAAAGACCUUUUCCUUUUGUGGGAGUGGAACUCAGGGCUUCUUCACACAUGCUAGGCAGAUGCACCACUGAGCUGCAUUCCACCUUUUUUAUUUUGAGACAGGGUCUCAUUAAAUUGCCCAUGCUGGUUUCAAACUUGUGAUCCGCCUGCAUCCGUCGCCCAAGUAUCUGGGAUUGUAGGUGUGCGCCACCAUAUUCUAAGGGAGGACUUUUUUCUAUCGAGGAAUCCUUGAGAUGUAGAAUUUUUUAUGCUUGCUUCAAAAAUAAUAAUGUUAUUCAGAAAGUGGCUAAAAGCAGUUGGUAAAGAAGCACACAUUUGGGCUGGGAAUAUAGCUCAGUUGGUAGAGUGCCUGCCUCGCAUGUAUAAGGCCUUGGGUUUAAUCCCCAGCACCACCACCAAAAAAAGGCACACAUUUAAUGACUGCUGUACACUUCAGGAGGUCGGGG